rnacentral:lncRNA from 1 species
UUGAUCAUCAGCAUUUGCUCUGUACCGUCUCCCCUAAAUUGAUCGUCGCUAAAUCGAUCUCUCGUUUGCAACUCUGUUGGAAAUCAUCCUCUUCGCUCUUUAAUCAUCAUCGUAAGUACAGGUUGUCUUGACCUUGAAUCGUUAUAGCUGAGCGGAGUUUUACUUUUGGCUACUAAAACAAAUCCCAAUUGUUCCCGUGUUCCACCAAUUGUUUAGGCCUUUUGAAACUGCUCCAGCUAGAUCUGAGUCUUACAUAUGGUUCUGUGUUGUUCAUGAUGCUCAAAGCUCAAUAUCCAUGGAGAAAUCCAAUGUGCAUAUCAAAUACAAACACCAUACCUAGAGCGGUUUGUUCAUUUGGAAUUUGACAUCUCUAAUUCCGGAUUAUCAUACGAAAAUGGGAACAUGUUGGAGCCUAGUGUGAGAGCCUAUGUGAAGUUGUGGAUGAGGCUCUAAUAUAAUUACAUUACACCAAACAACAUGUUUUAGAGAUUUUUAUUUGUUCUAUUGACUUGUUUUGUAUUCAUGUAUUGUAGCAUACUAUGUUUGGAUUUAUAUUUGUAUUGAAUAUAUUUUUGGUAAUCUAAGUUUUGUAUUCACCAAUAAUGCUUUGUUACCACGCGUUAAGCGAACACUAAAUCCAGUCGUUAAAGGGUUUUUAUGAAAGAUUUAACUGU